UACAGAGGUCUCAAGCGUUGUUCGGAUUCAUUGGGCGUAAAGCGCACGUAGGCGGAUUUGUAAGUCAGGGGUGAAAUCCCGGGGCUCAACCUCGGAACUGCCUUUGAUACUGCAAAUCUCGAGUCCGGAAGAGGUGAGUGGAAUUCCUAGUGUAGAGGUGAAAUUCGUAGAUAUUAGGAAGAACACCAGUGGCGAAGGCGGCUCACUGGUCCGGUACUGACGCUGAGGUGCGAAAGCGUGGGGAGCAAACAGG
rnacentral:rRNA from 1 species